UGUAGUCAUAUGCUUGUCUCAAAGAUUAAGCCAUGCAUGUCUAAGUAUAAGCAAUUAUACAGCGAAACUGCGAAUGGCUCAUUAUAUAAGUUAUCGUUUAUUUGAUAGUACCUUACUACUUGGAUAACCGUGGUAAUUCUAGAGCUAAUACAUGCUAAAAAUCCCGACUUCGGAAGGGAUGUAUUUAUUAGAUUAAAAACCAAUGCCCUCCGGGGCUCACUGGUGAUUCAUGAUAACUUCUCGAAUCGCACGGCCUUGCGCCGGCGAUGGUUCAUUCAAAUUUCUUCCCUAUCAACUUUCGAUGUUUGGGUAUUGGCCAAACAUGGUUGCAACGGGUAACGGAGGGUUAGGGCUCGACCCCGGAGAAGGAGCCUGAGAAACGGCUACUACAUCCAAGGAAGGCAGCAGGCGCGCAAAUUACCCAAUCCCGACACGGGGAGGUAGUGACAAUAAAUACUGAUACAGGGCUCUUUUGGGUCUUGUAAUUGGAAUGAGUACAAUUUAAAUCCCUUAACGAGGAACAAUUGGAGGGCAAGUCUGGUAAUCG
rnacentral:rRNA from 1 species